GGCAGGGUGAGUCGACCCCUAAGGCGAGGCUGAAAAGCGUAGUCGAUGGGAAACAGGUUAAUAUUCCUGUACUCGGUGUUACUGCGAAGGGGGGACGGAGAAAGCUAGGUUAUCCGGGCGACGGUUGUCCCGGUUUAAGCGUGAAGGUGGAUGACUUUGGUAAAUCCGGGUCGUCAUUAACACUGAGGCGUGAUGACGAGUCACUACGGUGAUGAAGUAACUAAUGCUACGCUUCCAGGAAAAGCCUCUAAGCUCCAGGUAACAUCAAAUCGUACCCCAAACCGACACAGGUGGUCAGGUAGAGAAUACUCAGGCGCUUGAGAGAACUCGGGUGAAGGAACUAGGCAAAAUGGUGCCGUAACUUCGGGAGAAGGCACGCUGAUGGUAGGUGAAGUGACUUGCUCACGGAGCUGAAAUCAGUCGAAGAUACCAGCUGGCUGCAACUGUUUAAUAAAAACACAGCACUGUGCAAACACGAAAGUGGACGUAUACGGUGUGACGCCUGCCCGGUGCCGGAAGGUUAAUUGAUGGGGUCAGCCGCAAGGCGAAGCUCUUGAUCGAAGCCCCGGUAAACGGCGGCCGUAACUAUAACGGUCCUAAGGUAGCGAAAUUCCUUGUCGGGUAAGUUCCGACCUGCACGAAUGGCGUAAUGAUGGCCAGGCUGUCUCCACCCGAGACUCAGUGAAAUUGAACUCGCUGUGAAGAUGCAGUGUACCCGCGGCAAGACGGAAAGACCCCGUGAACCUUUACUAUAGCUUGACACUGAACCUUGAGCCUUGAUGUGUAGGAUAGGUGGGAGGCUUUGAAGCGUGGACGCCAGUCUGCGUGGAGCCAACCUUGAAAUACCACCCUUUAAUGUUUGAUGUUCUAACGUGGACCCGUAAUCCGGGUUGCGGACAGUGUCUGGUGGGUAGUUUGACUGGGGCGGUCUCCUCCCAAAGCGUAACGGAGGAGCACGAAGGUUAGCUAAUCCUGGUCGGACAUCAGGAGGUUAGUGCAAAGGCAUAAGCUAGCUUGACUGCGAGAGUGACAGCUCGAGCAGGUGCGAAAGCAGGUCUUAGUGAUCCGGUGGUUCUGAAUGGAAGGGCCAUCGCUCAACGGAUAAAAGGUACUCCGGGGAUAACAGGCUGAUACCGCCCAAGAGUUCAUAUCGACGGCGGUGUUUGGCACCUCGAUGUCGGCUCAUCACAUCCUGGGGCUGAAGUAGGUCCCAAGGGUAUGGCUGUUCGCCAUUUAAAGUGGUACGCGAGCUGGGUUUAGAACGUCGUGAGACAGUUCGGUCCCUAUCUGCCGUGGGCGUUGGAAGAUUGAGAGGGGUUGCUCCUAGUACGAGAGGACCGGAGUGAACGCACCACUGGUGUACGGGUUGUGAUGCCAAUUGCAUUGCCCGGUAGCUAAGUGCGGAAGAGAUAACCGCUGAAAGCAUCUAAGCGGGAAACUUGCCUCGAGAUGAGUCUUCCCUGGGCACUAGAUGCCCCUGAAGGGCCGUUGAAGACGACGACGUAGAUAGGCUGGGUGUGUAAGCGUAGCGAUACGUUGAGCUAACCAGUACUAAUGACCCGAGAGGCUUAACCUUACAACACCGAAGGUGUUU
rnacentral:rRNA from 2 species